UACGUAGGGUGCAAGCGUUGUCCGGAAUUAUUGGGCGUAAAGAGCUCGUAGGCGGUUUGUCGCGUCGAAUGUGAAAACCCGGGGCUCAACCCCGGGCCUGCAUUCGAUACGGGCAGACUAGAGUUCGGUAGGGGAGUCUGGAAUUCCUGGUGUAGCGGUGAAAUGCGCAGAUAUCAGGAGGAACACCGGUGGCGAAGGCAGAUCUCUGGGCCGUAACUGACGCUGAGGAGCGAAAGCAUGAGGAGCGAACAGG
rnacentral:rRNA from 1 species